ACGUAGGGGGCAAGCGUUGUCCGGAAUGAUUGGGCGUAAAGGGCACGUAGGCGGCCUGGUAAGUCUGGAGUGAAAGUCCUGCUUUUAAGGUGGGAAUUGCUUUGGAUACUGUCGGGCUUGAGUGCAGGAGAGGUAAGUGGAAUUCCCGGUUGUGGGGUUAAAAGCGUUAAAAACGGGAGGGACCCCAGUGGCGAAGGCGACUUACUGGACUGUAACUGACGCUGAGGCGCGAAAGUGUGGGGAGCAAACAG
rnacentral:rRNA from 1 species